rfam:Cyphellophora europaea CBS 101466 unplaced genomic scaffold supercont1.8, whole genome shotgun sequence.
GGUGCCGUGGUGUAGUGGUAGCACGUAACGUUGUGGCAAACAACUCACAUAUCAUAUGUGGUUCUCUACGAUUCCCGUUCCGACGGCGGUUCGAUUCCGCCCGGCGCCA